rnacentral:rRNA from 1 species
GACGAACGCUGGCGGCGUGCUUAACACAUGCAAGUCGAACGGAAAGGCCCUGCUUUCGUGCGGUGCUCGAGUGGCAAACGGGUGAGUAACACGUGAGUAACCUGCCCUUGUCUUUGGGAUAGCUUCAGGAAACUAGGGCUAAUACCGGAUAGGAGCUGCUGCUGCGUGGUGGGGGUUGGAACGUUUCGGCGGGUGGGAAUGGACUCGCGGCUUAUCAGCUUGUUGGUGGGGGAAUUGCCUACCAAGGCGGUGACGGGUAGCCGGCCGGAGAGGGUGAUCGGCGGCAUGGGAGGUGAGACAGCGACCAUACGCCUACGAUAGGGACCAGUGGGGAAUAUUAGGCAGCGGGCGCAAACCUGAUCCAACCAGCCGACGUGGGUGAAGACAGCCUUCGGGUUGUAAAGCCGUUUUGUUGGGAAUAAAACGCAGCAGGUUAAUACGCAGCGGUUGUGACGGUACCCAAAGAAGAAGCACCGGCUAACUUCGUG